CUCAGGUGCCACAGCACACCUCAGUAUGCAGGUCCAUCGCCAUCUCUAGGGAGCUUUCUUCCUGAACAAAGUUGAAUGAAGGUGGUAACGUCUGAGCAGAGUUAACGUGGAGGACAGCAUAGAGCUCUAUCUGGCUGGGCCAAUUGACUAAACUUCAGAAUGAACACACUAGGCUGAAAAUUACUUCCAGGCUCUCCAAGAAUCAGGUGGCUCCAGAGCAUCAAGGAGACUCUGGCUAGGACUGAGUCAGCAGAAGCACCAGCAUUUCUUCCUGGGGGAACUGCAGCUGCAAAGCAGAACACGAAAACAAAACCACCAACAAUAGCAGCUUCCAUGUCAGCCAGAUGAGUAAUAGGAACAUUUCCACAGCAACAGGGCUCUGUCUUCAUUCAGAGGGUCCAAGAAAUGUGAUAUCCAACAGGUCUCCAUAGCUACCAUGCAAUACCUUUGCUGCUUGGUGGUGGUCUACAGACAACUGAAAAGGGGUUUGCUGUUAGAAUCAAAAAGAUGUCCAUAAAAGUGUGGGAAAAUUGUAUCUUUUCCCUCUGAUUUUAUAGGCCCUGAAGCCAACCUCUGAAAGGUACGAGUGGCUCCUUUUUUAUUUAAGUUAAGCUCAGAUAUCUCAAUGACUUUUUAGUGAACUUUCCAGUCCCUGAGGGGAAUCAUGUCAUUAAGAUCAACACAAGUGAAUAGCAGAGUCUUGAUUCUUUGAGCAGAAGAAGCCUGAAGUGAAACUUCUCUUUUCUUACCCCUGAGUACCAUCACCCAGCUUGCCAGCAGAAAUAUUAUUGCCAAGGGAGACAAACUUGCCACAGGACAGCUACUGACACCAGGGACUUCAAAUUAAACCUAGAAGUCCCUCUGAACUAAAUCCAUGCUGGAGUGGGAAUAGCCUGAUUUUUUGGACAAAGGCUCAACUUUGCUUCUUUGUCCCCGCUUUUUGCUGGGGGCAUCUUACUUCUUUUCUUUUCUUGAGGAAUUUUUGUGGGAAAAGUGUCUGCUUAGCUGUUUCUUUCCAGAAGUAGGGUAACUCUGCUAAAGCAUCCUCCUGUCCUGUCUCCUUCUUAAUCUUCACAAAGAUGUCCAGGCAACCAAUCCCCAGGUACACACAUUCACCUGGGACCACUGCAUGGACCAGUACUUCAUUCUCCAAUGGCAGUAGUCAGUAAAUGUUCAUAUAAACCCAAUUAUUUUUCCUCUAAAUCAUCCAAAAUCCCCAGGUUCUAUUCACAAGCUUAAAAUUUCAUACCAUAAUUCAUUAUUUCUCCCAUGAGGAAAAAAAAAUACUGUUAUGUCGCAGUUCCUGUAAUUCCCAAUGACAAUUAUGACUAAGUCAGUGAUCCUCAUUAAAAAUACACAUUAAUAAAACCAGUGGGCAAACCAGGCUGUUGGCUUGCUCUGCCCAGAAGAAAAAAGAGA